UACGUAGGGCGCAAGCGUUGUCCGGAAUUAUUGGGCGUAAAGAGCUCGUAGGCGGCCUGUUACGUCUGCUGUGAAAUCCCGGGGCUUAACCCCGGGUCGGCAGUGGAUACGGGCAGGCUAGAGGUAGGUAGGGGAGAAUGGAAUUCCCGGUGUAGCGGUGAAAUGCGCAGAUAUCGGGAGGAACACCGGUGGCGAAGGCGGUUCUCUGGGCCUUACCUGACGCUGAGGAGCGAAAGCGUGGGGAGCAAACAGG
rnacentral:rRNA from 1 species